rfam:Tupaia chinensis contig94976, whole genome shotgun sequence.
GAGGCGGCCAAGUGGUUAAGGUGAUGGACUGCUCAUUCACUGUGCUCUGUAUGUGUGGGUUCAAAUCCCACUCAUCUCU